UGCUGCUUCUUCCUUCUUCUUCUGCCAUCAUCAUCUUCUUCUUCUUCAAUGCUGUGUAAUAUAAAUCACACACAAAAACAUUUUCAAUUCAAGUUAUAAUGCCUGGUUCCUUCCCCUUAUCAUGAAAAUGUGUUGUGUGAAGAAGAACCAGAACACAAAAACAUUUUCAAUUUUCAAUCACACACAAAAACAUUUUACAUUUUCGCCGGACUACCAUCAUUACUGUGUAGUAUGUAUAUCUCCCCACUCUGCUAAAAGUCAAAACAGAGGAAAACUUACUUUCCAAUUCACACACACAAAAACAAAGAAAAAAAUAUGUAAAAUUGGUUAUGUAAAAUAAGUUUAUAGAAAUUGGAUAGAAUAUAUUUGUUAUUGAUGUGAAAUUGGUUGUGGGAGUUUUGAUUAUGGAACCAUGAAGGGUUUAGAUGAUAUAAGGAUGGAAUAUUGUAUGAAGGUUAUGUGUUUAUAUAUUUGGAUU
rnacentral:lncRNA from 1 species